AACGGCACCGACUCUUUGGUGCGUAAAUGGCCAAACAGCACCGAGAUGAGCUCACUGACGUCUGGAUUUCAAACGCGAGCAGACGUUGCUUUGCCUUGCCAAAAUGCAGAGUUUUGUUGUAAAAAAGUACAUGUUUAAGAGAUGGCGCUGAUUUAUUUAGUGAUCAAACCGUGAAA